AGACCUAUGAAGGUCGAAGGGGAAGAAAAGCUGUAUCGAUUGUUGAGAUCUGGCGACUUGUUUAAAUUUCAUCAGCCUCACUUCUAUGAACUCUCAGGACAAACUGCAACAGAGUCACAUCGAGUUGAGACUUCUCCAAGGGCCAUGGGGUUGACAUCUGUAUUCUCAGAGCUGAUUACCAACUCCUACCACUGUUAACCCUCAUCCAGGAACAAGCUUAUGUCUUUAACAUUCUGAGUGGGCUUCAGCAUCCUUGCAUAUGUUCAAUUCUUAAAAACCUGUUGAAAUAAAAGAUCAGGAGACAUAGGAAGGAUGCCAGAAGAGAGCGUGGCCUCACGUGUACCAGCUCUCUGCUCUCCUUUGCCUUGGGACGUUCCAUCCCUGGAAGUUUCCCUGCCCACAUCUUUGUAGAGAGUCCAUUCUCCAAGCUUCAGUGUGUCAUCUGUGAGGACCGUGACCCACCUGGUACAUCGCCUCAGGGCAUUCAUUUCAGGCUCCUUCUAAAUGGCCAAGGGUCUUCCUCUGCCACCCAGGCUGGAGUGUGCAGCAGCAUGACCGUGGCUUACUGCAGCUUCAACCUCUCAGGAUUAGGUAAACCUCAGGUUCUCCUCCUGCCUUUUGCUAAGUAUAUGUCUUGAUGACAAGCCUUCUGCUGAUGAGCUGUGUUUCUGGACCGAUCAUGGUAGAAGUCAAUUAACGUGUCCCUCACUUGGGGUUUCUCAAGGACAUGCAAGGUCCUCAUGAUUGUCUCAAAACUAUAUAGAAUUGAGAAGCUGCACUGAUGAGGAAACUGAAACAGAAAAUCCAGAGUAAAUUCCACCAGGCCACACAGCAAGGUCUGAUAGAGCCAGGAGAGACUUUAUGAAAUCCAGACUCUCACACUAAUGCUCUAUCAGCUAGACCUCCAUGUGAGUCUCCCCAAUGUAGGUAGGAAGUGCUUUCCC
rnacentral:lncRNA from 10 species